ACGGGUGUAGCUCAAUUGGUAGAGUAGUGGUCUCCAAAACCAUUGGUUGUGAGUUCGAGUCUCUCCACCCGUG
rnacentral:tRNA from 1 species